CCCAGCCCUUCCUGGCGGGAGCCUCUCCAAUCCCAGAAGGCUGCAGUUCCGGGGCCGGGGCCAAGGGGGCUGUGGUUUACGUCAGACAAGCCUGGUGCUUCUCCAGGCAGAGCCUCUGGGGUCUGUCACGAGCAUUUGGGCCCACCAAGGACCCCCGGCUUUUUGGCAGACUGUUCUGCGGCAAAUAUGAGGACCUACUGUGUGCCAGGCAUUUGUCAAACCGCAUCUUGUUACUGCUUUCAUUUCCAAAGUAGCUUUCUUCUCCCCACUUUACAGAUGAGGAGACUGAGGCCCAGAGGACCGAGCCCUUAACCUCGGUCUGCACAGCUGGGAAGGCAGCCCAGUGAUUUUAUCCUUCCCACCGGUGCUUGUAGUAGGUAAUACAAGAGGGCAAGGUCACUUAUAAGGAAUUAGGAGUGGGAACGGCUUUGGACUUGACGAUGGCUACACUGACAAGAAGGGGAUGGAGCCAGUCCUACGCAGUUGGCCCCUGCCCAGCUUCUUCUGUAGGAAAAUGAUUUCCAGACUAGAAUUCUACCCAGUGCUAUAGACUGAAUAUCUGCAGCCCCACCCCCAGGAGCCCCCGCUCUGUCGUGGGCGGACCCAACCGUGCCCGGGGCUGAGGGCAAGCAAGGGCAGAAGGCGGCAGACGCUGGAGCCCAGCGCUGGUCUGAACCCCAACUCCCCCCCUGCCGGCUGUGUGACCCUGGGCAAGGCACCUGCCCUCUCUGUGCUUUGGGUUUCCUCCUCCGUGAACGAGAGAACGCCUGGGGAUGAGGCACGCGACUCUCUGCUGGCUGCCUACAACGGAGCCUGUUACCGGGUGAGCUCUCUAGCUUUGUGGGGCAGACAUUAGAGAAAACAGGGUGCUAGGCCAGGCUCUGCUGGAGGGAG